AACGAACGCUGGCGGCAGGCCUAACACAUGCAAGUCGAGCGAAGCCUUCGGGCUUAGCGGCGGACGGGUGAGUAACGCGUGGGAACGUGCCCUUUGGUACGGAAUAGCCCCGGGAAACUGGGAGUAAUACCGUAUGUGGUCGAGAGACGAAAGAUUUAUCGCCAAGGGAUCGGCCCGCGUUGGAUUAGGUAGUUGGUGGGGUAAUGGCCUACCAAGCCGACGAUCCAUAGCUGGUUUGAGAGGAUGAUCAGCCACACUGGGACUGAGACACGGCCCAGACUCCUACGGGAGGCAGCAGUGGGGAAUCUUAGACAAUGGGGGAAACCCUGAUUUAGCCAUGCCGCGUGAUCGAUGAAGGCCUUAGGGUUGUAAAGAUCUUUCAGUGGGGAAGAUAAUGACGGUACCCACAGAAGGAGCCCCGGCUAACUCCGUGCCAGCCGCCGCAGUAAUAC
rnacentral:rRNA from 1 species